rnacentral:tRNA from 1 species
GCAGCGAUGUCCGAGUGGUUAAGGGGAUUGACUCAAAAUCAUUUGGGCUCUGCCCGCGUAGGUUCGAAUCCUGCUAGCUGCU